rnacentral:rRNA from 1 species
GACGAACGCUGGCGGCGUGCUUAACACAUGCAAGUCGAACGGAAAGGCCCUGCUUUUGUGGGGUGCUCGAGUGGCGAACGGGUGAGUAACACGUGAGUAACCUGCCCUUGACUUUGGGAUAACUUCAGGAAACUGGGGCUAAUACCGGAUAGGAGCUCCUGCUGCAUGGUGGGGGUGGGAAAGUUUCGGCGGUUGGGGAUGGACUCGCGGCUUAUCAGCUUGUUGGUGGGGUAGUGGCUUACCAAGGCUUUGACGGGUAGCCGGCCUGAGAGGGUGACCGGCCACAUUGGGACUGAGAUACGGCCCAGACUCCUACGGGAGCAAGCAGUGGGGAAUAUUGCACAAUGGGCGGAAGCCUGAUGCAGCAACGCCCCGUGCGGGAUGACGGCCUUCGGGUUGUAACCCGCUUUCGCCUGUGACGAAGCGUGAGUGACGGUAAUGGGUAAAGAAGCACCGGCUAACUACGUG